GACGAACGCUGGCGGCGUGCUUAACACAUGCAAGUCGAACGAGUGGCGAACGGGUGAGUAAUACGUGAGUAACCUGCCCUCUUUUUGGGAUAAGCCUUGGAAACGGGGUCUAAUACCGGAUAAAGGGGGAUGGGCUCGCGGCCUGUCAGCUUGUUGGUGGGGUGAUGGCCUACCAAGGCGGUGACGGGUAGCCGGCCUGCGAGGGUGACCGGCCACAGUGGGACUGAGAUACGGCCUAGAGGCGUAAGCGAGGGAGAAGUGGGGGAAAUGGCAGAAUGGGGGAAAGCCUGAUGCAGCGACGCCGAGGGGGGGAUGAAGGCUUUAGGGUUGUAAACCUCGUUCGCUAGCGAACGGGUAGGUAGAGAAGAAGCGCCGGCUAACUACGUGCCAGCAGCCGCGGUAAUUC
rnacentral:rRNA from 1 species